UACGUAGGGAGCAAGCGUUGUUCGGAUUUACUGGGCGUAAAGGGCGCGUAGGCGGCAUGACAAGUCACUUGUGAAAUCUCUGGGCUUAACCCAGAACGGCCAAGUGAUACUGUCGCGCUAGAGUGCAGAAGGGGCAAUCGGAAUUCUUGGUGUAGCGGUGAAAUGCGUAGAUAUCAAGAGGAACACCUGAGGUGAAGACGGGUUGCUGGGCUGACACUGACGCUGAGGCGCGAAAGCCAGGGGAGCAAACGGG
rnacentral:rRNA from 1 species